UUGGGCCAGAGAAGCCUCCUCAGCAAGUCUGGAGUACUUUGCCGCUGCCUGCUGAGAGGUGCUCAGCUUCUGCUUGAGCUACAAGAGGGACAGGAGCAACUGUGUCAGAAAGCCCUGAGGUGCCUGCAAUCUAAAUACCGGUAUUCAACAGAAGCAAAACAGAGUUAAACAGUAAGGCAAGGGGGUGUGCCCAAAAGGAGUUCAUGUAUAUAGUGACCACCUCAGUGUGAGCUCAAGAAAGAGGCUUUUCUAAAAGGGAAGAUGCAGUGGCUUCUCUGUUCUGGAGAGAAUUCCAUUAAUAAUUUAGAAAACAAAGAUAUGACACUGCAAUCAGGAACCCAUCAAUGAGGCUGAAAAGAAGUUCUCCUUGCAGGCGGUUGAUAUGGGCAACAGAGCCUCCUUGGAUCACAGCACUGGUUGGACGAAUCUGGCAUACAGGCCUUCCUCCGCAAUACAGGUUGGCGUGAUCCCCCAGAGAAAUAGUAGAAAUGAAAGAAUUCCUGGUUGGCAGGAGCUGGGACAAGCGACGGGAG